rnacentral:rRNA from 1 species
ACGCUGGCGGCGUGCUUAACACAUGCAAGUCGAACGGUGACGAGGAGCUUGCUCCUCUGAUCAGUGGCGAACGGGUGAGUAACACGUGGGCAACCUGCCCCUGACUUCGGGAUAACGCUUCGAAAGAGGUGCUAAUACCGGAUAUGAGUCCCUCCGGCAUCUGAGGGACUGGAAAGUUUUUCGGUCAGGGAUGGGGCCCCGCGGCCUAUCAGCUUGUUGGUGAGGUAACGGCUCACCAAGGCGACGACGGGUAGCCGGCCUGAGAGGGCGACCGGCCACACUGGGACUGAGACACGGCCCAGACUCCUACGGGAGGCAGCAGUGGGGAAUAUUGCGCAAUGGGCGAAAGCCUGACGCAGCAACGCCGCGUGAGGGAUGACGGCCUUCGGGUUGUAAACCUCUUUCAGCAGGGAAGAAGCGAAAGUGACGGUACCUGCAGAAGAAGCACCGGCUAACUACGUGCCAGCAGCCGCGGUAAUACGUAGGGUGCAAGCGUUGUCCGGAUUUAUUGGGC